GUGAACGCUGGCGGCAGGCCUAACACAUGCAAGUCGAGCGGCAGCACGGGAGCAAUCCCUGGUGGCGAGUGGCGAACGGGUGAGUAAUAUAUCGGAACGUGCCCGGUCGUGGGGGAUAACGUAGCGAAAGCUACGCUAAUACCGCAUACGAUCUACGGAUGAAAGCGGGGGAUCGCAAGACCUCGCGCGAUUGGAGCGGCCGAUAUCAGAUUAGGUAGUUGGUGAGGUAAAGGCUCACCAAGCCAACGAUCUGUAGCUGGUCUGAGAGGACGACCAGCCACACUGGGACUGAGACACGGCCCAGACUCCUACGGGAGGCAGCAGUGGGGAAUUUUGGACAAUGGGCGCAAGCCUGAUCCAGCAAUGCCGCGUGCAGGAUGAAGGCCUUCGGGUUGUAAACUGCUUUGUACGGAACGAAACGGUGAGCUCUAAUACAGUUUGCUAAUGACGGUACCGUAAGAAUAAGCACCGGCUAACUACGUG
rnacentral:rRNA from 1 species